UUUUUUUACCCGAACCCUAACCUCUCUUCCUCUCCUUCAUUGCGGCGAUUUCUUUCGGGCGAAACAGGAUCGGAGCUGGGGCUCUUCCUCCGGCGGCCGGCGAGGGGUUUUUCCGAGAGCCUCUCACAUCUUCGAGACCGUCUCACCAAGGAGAACAAGUAGAUAGGGAGAGAUCGUUGAGAAAGCGAGUUCACCCAGAACCCUAGAGUCAGUUUCUCGGUUGUAAGUCCAAGAACUCCAAGAAUAGAUAAAGGAAAAGCUAAAGUAUAAAGAGGAAGGCGACAAGGAGGAUGCAUGAUGGAUGUGUGUGAUGUUUGGAUCUAUGGAAGCUUGGGACCUUGCUAAAGGAUUUAAAUGGGAUUCUUACUAAGAAGUUGUUUAGAGUCCUUUAAUGUUAUUAGAGAAGUUGAGAUUGUUAAAGAGUUGUUUCCUUUUUCUUAUGUUGCUAAUUGAGUCUAUUCCGCAUUGUUA